rnacentral:tmRNA from 1 species
GGGGAUGAUAUGGCUUCGACGCUGGUAACGAAACCAGAGGUGCAUGCCGAGUGUACAGUGGCACUCGUACUCCAAUCGCUGUAAUCAAUAGUUGCAAAUGAUGACAACUACGGUGCUGCUCUAGCUGCGUAAGCAGUUAAAAAAGCACUUUUAGGGGUACGCCCCUAACGGUCUGUAACAAGGUGCCUGUACCGCGAUACCGACUGUCACUCAGAACAGGACCGCACCACGGCAUACUCGGG